rnacentral:rRNA from 1 species
UACGGAGGGUGCAAGCGUUAAUCGGAAUUACUGGGCGUAAAGCACACGCAGGCGGCUUGUUAAGUCGGAUGUGAAAGCCCCGGGCUCAACCUGGGAAUUGCAUUCGAUACUGGCAAGCUAGAGUAUGUGAAAGGGGGGUAGAAUUCCAAGUGUAGCGGUGAAAUACGUAGAGAUUUGGAGGAAUACCAGUGGCAAAGGCGACCCCCUGGCACACUACUGACGCUCAGGUGCGAAAGCGUGGGGAGCAAACAGG